UACGUAGGUGGCAAGCGUUGUUCGGAAUUACUGGGCGUAAAGCGCGCGCAGGCGGCCUUUUAAGUCUACCCGUGAAAUCCCCGGGCUCAACCCGGGAACUGCGUCCGAUACUGGAAGGCUUGAAUCCGGGAGAGGGAUGCGGAAUUCCAGGUGUAGCGGUGAAAUGCGUAGAUAUCUGGAGGAACACCGGUGGCGAAGGCGGCAUCCUGGACCGGCAUUGACGCUGAGGCGCGAAAGCCAGGGGAGCAAACGGG
rnacentral:rRNA from 1 species